rnacentral:tRNA from 1 species
CUGGGCGUAGCGAAGUUGGCAUCGCACCUGUUUUGGGAACAGGGGACCGCAAGUUCAAAUCUUGUCGCUCAGACCA